rnacentral:rRNA from 1 species
CCUACGGGUGGCAGCAGUAGGGAAUAUUGCUCAAUGGGGGAAACCCUGAAGCAGCAACGCCGCGUGGAGGAUGAAGGUUUUCGGAUUGUAAACUCCUUUUGUUAGAGAAGAUAAUGACGGUAUCUAACGAAUAAGCACCGGCUAACUCCGUGCCAGAAGCCGCGGUAAUACGGAGGGUGCAAGCGUUACUCGGAAUCACUGGGCGUAAAGAGCGCGUAGGCGGGAUAGCAAGUCAGAUGUGAAAUCCUAGGGCUUAACCAUAGAACUGCAGUUGAAACUGUUAUUCUAGAGUAUGGGAGAGGUAGGUGGAAUUCUAGGUGUAGGGGUAAAAUCCGUAGAGAUCAAGAGGAAUACUCAUGGCGAAGGCGACCUGCUAGAACAUAACUGACGCUGAGGCGCGAAAGCGUGGGGAGCAAACAGGAUUAGAUACCCGUGUAGUC